rnacentral:rRNA from 1 species
GACAGAGGGUGCAAACGUUGCUCGGAAUUACUGGGCGUAAAGCGCGUGUAGGCGGACCACCAAGUCGGACGUGAAAUCCCUGGGCUCAACCCAGGAACUGCAUCCGAAACUGGCGGUCUGGAGUAGUGGAGAGGAAAGCAGAAUUCCUGGUGUAGAGGUGAAAUUCGUAGAUAUUCGGAAGAACACCAGUGGCGAAGGCGACUUACUGGACACAUAUUGACGCCGAGGUGCGAAAGCGUGGGGAGCAAACAGG